ensembl:lncRNA
AUAAUUCACAGCAAACCUCGUUUUAGGCUUCCUGAAAGCAUUCUUGCUGGCUCAAAAAAGGUCCUAAAAUGAAACCCAGUUGCUGGGGUUGGAUGUCAUUUGGGUAAAAAGCCCACGGGAGUGGCUUCACUAGCCAACCAGACAGCUUCGCAUCCACUGUUGGCAGAUUUCUCUGGUUGGUUCAGUGUUGGGAGGGAAAAGAAACCGAGGAGUUGUUGGUUAACCAUCUAGUCCUGGCGUUAGUGGGAAUCGCUCAGCUUUCUGGGCUGGAGCUCUGUUCCCAUAGGUGCCCCUGAUAGUUUUCAGCCUCUUGGCUUCUAUCUCAUCACUUCAGGUGUCUUUAAGAAAGGACCAGAGCCUGGGGACUACCGACAGCCAGAGGCCUGAGCUCAGACAGGAAGUCGUGGUGAGGGCUGUGCAGAGCAAACAGUGGAGGUUGGAGUGAGCUUGCGGCACCUUCCCUGCCACUGGAGCCUGCAGAAGUUCACCGGGCCUACAUCAAUGCCGGAAAACAGCGAUACGUGGUGAAUGGAUGGGUGAGACCCCAAUGAAAUGAUGCAGAACCUGACCUGGGAAACGCUUUACAACUGAGAGUGUUUUUCCUUGGUACCCCCCAAGCCAGCAAACCCCAUGGCUGUCCUGUGUCCCUUGGAGUCCUGUGAAGAGCAAUGCGACCCUUGCUGGAAUCCCUGGAGAAGCUAAGUACACUUCUUAAGAUCCAAACGUCUAGAAAUAUAAAUCCUUAGAGUCUAACAAUGCCUUCUGAUGUGUAAACACAAAAAAUUCCUGAUAGGUCUGACAAUACAAAAAAAAAUGUUGUUACUGUUACCCACAAGUGUACUCUUCCGCCAUCUUGUGGCCACGAGGGGACACUCCAGAUGAACAUUUGAGGGUAACCUCAGGCAAAACUUAAGGGCAACUAGGGUUGCUCUGGCCACUGCCCAGUCUCUGGGGCUGCUCAGCCUCUUAGACUCCCUUUAUACAGCGGUGGGAAGCCACCAAAGCGACUAUUUUGUUUGGUGGCAUCUGCAGGGGGACAGAUGAAAAAGAAUGCCUAAGGCCACCUCUCCAGCACCCAGCCCGACAGUCCCCACUAUUCACUCAGUCAUGGUCGAAUCCCAAGGAGUUGGUCUGAGGGCUCAUCAGAUGCCUUCAACUCUAUCAAAGCAGGCAAGGAUGCGCCCAUUCUUCACCCCCUUGUACUAAACCACAUUUAGUAUAAAGCAGGUUCUUGCUAAGCAUUUGUUGGUGAAGAAACAAAACAAUGCAACACUGUUGUAUAGAGUACCUACUAUGUGCAAGAACAAUGUACUUUCUACGUCCUGUUUCAUUUCAUUCAAGUAACCAUCUCAUCCCUGUCCAGGGAACCCCUCAGUCCUGGACAGAUGGGGACGGUUGGUCCUUGUGAUUUAAAAUUUUGCAGCAUCUCUCUGAGGGCAACACUACCGGGUAACCCAUAUUUCUGAUGAGAAAACUGAGCUUCAGAACAGCAAUCACUUGCUCCCUGUGUUAAUUACUUUCCUGGUUGUUCUGACCUGACAAGACAAACUUCAGAGGGUUAGGGCUCACAGUUCUGGUGUGCAGUCCAGUGAGGCAGAGAACACAGCUCAUAAGAAGCAAAUGGACCUGAGUGGACUCCUGCCGUAUAAACUGUGGCCACAUCUCUACACUGUCCCUGGAGCAUAGACAUGGCUCCUUCUGGCCAAAGGUCUUGUAGGUUCUUAUCUGGUCUCUUGACUGUGAAGGUGCAAAGGGAACUGGAAGUAUCUUCUUGUCCUUUCUGAAGAAAUUUGUUAAGCAAAUAACUGAAUAAUGAUGGUGGAGAAAGAAGAAGAAAGAGGGGGGAGGGGGAGCAGAAGAGGGGAGAUAGAACAUCUCUGUGGGAGCAAACAUGGUCCCUCACACUCCUUGCUUAGCUGCCUCAGCCUCCUCAGGGGCGGCCGGCGGAUGCUGACGGAACACGCAGAGCCAUUAGGAUGAGCCAUUCCGAAAGUCCCAACGUCUUUCUCUUGUCUCCUGUAUCCGGUCCAUCAGAGAAUCCUUUGGCCUUAUCCACCUCCUAAGUGUCCCCAGCAGCCCCUGUUCACCACCUCUCUGGUCUGAAUCACCCUUCCAUUUGUCUGGAGGGAUCGAAAUUCGAUGCUUGACUUGUGUCUGUCUGCUGGUUCUUCAGCUGGAGGAAUCCCACCUCAGCACUGGCCAGUGUAGGGGACUUUUCUAUGAGAAGCUGGUGUCUUCACCAUGUCAUAUCAAGCUGUGACUGAACAUACAGUCACUUUGUCCCCACCCUUAACCACUUCCCUUGCUCUCAGCCCUGUGUGGUGACGGCCUCCGGCAACUUCUCAAAGACCCAUUCCUACAGUUGUCCCCUCUGUCCUGCCUCUCUGCCCCCAGCUAUGAUGGCAAUGACUUCUGUUGCUAAAAUACCUCCUCUUGGGGAGAAGGAAACACCCUCCCCGCCACCUCCUCCUUCUACAGCCUACUGAUGACCAAGAG